rnacentral:lncRNA from 1 species
AAAGGAAUUAGCAUCAAUUUGAAUGUUGUCUACAGUGCCCUCUUCUCUGGGAGCUAUUUUUCCACUUUCCUUUAUUUUUAUUUUUUUAUUUUUUUAACUACUUACAGGAAAGAGACAAUUGUUUUUUUUCAAGACAUGUUCUGGUUGGACAAGCGAGUAAAGAAGUCCACAGCACCCUGCCUGUGAGGGAAGACUGAUAACACACUUUUCAAAGCGUGCAAAACAUUUGUUUGAACCCAGGUCUUCACUGGAAGUCAGAUUACGAGUUGCAGAAUUUCAAUUUUGAGUCAUCUUCCAGGAGAUAUAGAACAGCUUUCUGAUCAGUGUUCCCAACACAUCCUUACCUCUCUCAAGAUUUUGUUGUCAACUAACUUGCUACCAUGGAAUCACAAAGGAUUUCAGCUGAAUCAGGAAAUCAAGAUGAACUUUGCCACAUUGCUACAAACAUAAAAUCACUAGAGCAGUAGGGCAUGGUGAGGACCCUGCAUGUGUCCUGGGAAACUUAAGGGAAAUGAACCUCAUCAUCUAAUGGUAAGUUUGUUUUAAUCUGAGAGUAUACAUUGUUGUUUUCCCUCCUAUCUCUAUUUUUGAUUCAUUAU